AUUGAACGCUGGCGGCAGGCCUAACACAUGCAAGUCGAGCGGAGCGGCGGACGGGUGAGUAAUGCCUAGGAAUCUGCCUGGGAGUGGGGGAUAACGUACGGAAACGGGCGCUAAUACCGCAUACUAUCAGAUGAGCCUAGGUGGGAGUAGCUAGUUGGUGGGGUAAAGGCCUACCAAGGCCACGAUCCGUAACUGGACUGAGAGGAUGAUCAGUCACACUGGAACUGAGAGUCGGUCCAGACGCCUACGGGAGGCAGCAGUGGGGAAUAUUGGACAAUGGGCGAAAGCCUGAUGCAGCCAUGCCGCGUGUGUGAAGAAGGUCUUCGGAUUGUAAAGCACUUUAAGUUGGGAGGCGUUACCAACAGAAUAAGCACCGGCUAACUUCGUGCCAGCAGCCGCGGUAAUUC
rnacentral:rRNA from 1 species